UCGGGAAUUUUGGGCAAUGGGCGAAAGCCUGACCCAGCAACGCCGCGUGAAGGAUGAAGUAUUUCGGUAUGUAAACUUCGAAAGAAUAGGAAGAAUAAAUGACGGUACUAUUUAUAAGGUCCGGCUAACUACGUGCCAGCAGCCGCGGUAAUACGUAGGGACCAAGCGUUGUUCGGAUUUACUGGGCGUAAAGGGCGCGUAGGCGGCAAUUCAAGUCAUCUGUGAAAUCUCCGGGCUUAACUCGGAACGGUCAGAUGAUACUGCUUUGCUAGAGUGCAGAAGGGGCAAUCGGAAUUCUUGGUGUAGCGGUGAAAUGCGUAGAUAUCAAGAGGAACACCUGAGGUGAAGACGGGUUGCUGGGCUGACACUGACGCUGAGGCGCGAAAGCGUGGGGAGCAAAUAGGAUUAGAUACCCCAGUAGUCCCUGAGCGGGCUGGCAAGGCGCAU
rnacentral:rRNA from 1 species